rnacentral:misc_RNA from 1 species
ACUACUUCCUCUCCGAUCGAUGACCAGCAGCAAACCCGAAACUGCUCCCUAGAGCUCAAAAAUCAUGUUCCGAUGAGCGUGGUUUAGUUUUGCUUGAUAAACGAACAAAAAAUUAGGAAGGGUGCAUAUAAUACAACAAGGGUAAAUAAAGAAUGCCAGCAAAAACUUCUGCAUGUCCCCAUGUGAAUGUAGUAGACAGCGUUACUUGGGAAGAGCUCAGACGCAAGCAACAGGGCCCUGUAAGUUGUUUUACCUGUAAGGUGAGCACCAGUAACCUGUGGCUGUGUUUGGUUGGGUCCUGUCAGUAUGUAGGCUGUGGAGAGUCCUACUCCGACCACAGCUCCGCUCACUCUGAUGAGUAUCAACAUUAUUUGACAAUCAACUUGACAACUCUACGAAUAUGGUGUUACAGAUGUGAAAGUGAGGUUUUUCCAUCAAGGAAUACACCAACCUUCAUCAUCCCAGAAAACUCUGCCAGUGUUCCGAUUAAAAAGGACUGUGAUAUGUUGGAGGAUGGAAUGAGUUCGUUACCUAGCAGUGGAUCACGGAGCAGAAAGCUGGGCUCAGACAGUUCUCCAUAUCGUAGUAUUUCAGCUGGUGAAGAAUCAGACUCUGAGGGUGAAGACGAAAACAUGAAGCCUAGAGGAUUAACAGGACUACAGAAUUUAGGGAACACCUGUUACCUUAAUGCAGCUGUUCAAGCUUUAUCCAACUGUCCUCCACUAACCAGAUUUUUCCUGGACUGCUCAGCCUAUGUUAGACCAGAGAGAUCCCCCAUGUUGUCCAAGAACUACAUGAAGCUUGUUAAUGAAAUCUGGCACAAGAAGAGGCCCAGCUAUGUCAUUCCAAAUGGAGUUGUUACUGGCAUAAAAGUAGUUCAUCCAAUGUUCAGAGGAUAUUCUCAACAGGAUGCUCAGGAAUUCUUGAGAUGUUUUAUGGAUCAAAUCCAUGAAGAAUUAAAACAACCCCUGGUUACUGAUGAUGAUGACGAUGAAGAGACGAGUGGUGAUAAAACAGAAACAAAUCAUCACAGGCAGUUGUCGGGAGAUUCUAAUAGCAGUACCCAAUCAGAGGAGUGUUACGAGUCAUGUGAUUCUGGAAACAGUAGUGAAAAAAAUUUGACAGACUCAACUCUGCUGAACAAAGAAAAUCAAAAUCAGUGUCCAAACAGUAUAGUGUCAGGAGGGAAAACUUACAUUCAGGUGAAUAACAGUGACCAGGAUUCCGGGGCGGGGGAUAGCAUUGCCUCUAAAGACAGUGACACACAGAGCAACAAGAUGAUGAAACAAGGGGGCAGGGGUAAAGAGCCCUCGGAUGGGGGAAAGGGAGACACAGAGAAAAGUUCCAGCAGGACCCGGAAGUUCUCAGAAAAUGUGGACUCCAAAAAGUCUCAGUAUUCAUCUAAAGCAUCUCUUGGACCAAAGGGAAACAAGAAAAAUGUGCAAUACAGAAGUGUGAUAUCAGACAUAUUUGAUGGUAAAAUCUUGAGCUCAGUGCAGUGUUUGACCUGUGAAAGGAUUUCGACCACCAAGGAGACGUUCCAGGACCUGUCCCUGCCCAUCCCCACCAAGGACCACCUCCACAUGCUGCACGGACACAACACCUCCACCCUUACUAAGGUGGGGGCGUGUGGCGAGGCCAAGCAGGGCUGGUUCAGCUGGAUGUUUGGAUGGAUGAGAAAUUGGUUCAUUGGUCCCACCAUCACCCUUCAGGAUUGUUUGGCAGCCUUCUUUUCAGCAGAUGAAUUAAAGGGGGACAACAUGUAUAGUUGUGAGAAAUGUAAAAAACUAAGAAAUGGAUUAAAGUUCUCCAGAGUUUUGGAAUUACCAGAGAUCCUGUGCAUUCAUCUGAAGAGAUUUCGACAUGAAUUCUACUCCUCCAAGAUCAGUUCUUAUGUAUCAUUUCCUCUGGAUAGCCUGGACAUGAAGAAGUAUUUACACAGAGAUUGUUCCUCCCAAGUGACCGUCUUUGACCUCCAUGCUGUUAUCUGUCACCAUGGGACUGCGGGGGGUGGACACUACACAGCCUACUGCCUGAACUACCUCAAUGACCAGUGGUACGAGUUUGACGACCAGUACGUCACUGAGGUGGAAGUAGGUCAGGUCAUUAACUGUGAGGCCUACGUGCUCUUCUACAGGAAGAGAAAUGAUGACAUGGUACCACUGAGACAGAAAGCCAUGCAGCUGAUUGAGGCCAGGGAGCCAAGUUUGAUGGAGUUUUUCAUCUCCAAGCAGUGGAUCAAUAAAUUCAACACUUUUGCUGAACCAGGGCCUAUUAGCAAUGAUGACUUUCUAUGAGUGCCACCCCAUAAAAUCAACCAUGUGGAUGACCUUGUCAUUGCUUUUAACCAAUCUCUCUGGGAGUUUCUCCACCAAAGAUUUGGAGGAGGUCCUGUCUGUAACCAUUUAAUUCCAUGUACAACUUGUCAGGAAGAGCUGGAAAAGCUACAGUUCCGGCAGAAAUCAGAAAUGGACCAGUUCAUCCAGCUGAAUGAUAAAUUCCAUGAAGAUGAUGGUCCCUCAGUCAUCUAUGCUAUCAGCAUGGCUUGGUUUAAGGACUGGGAAAAUUUUGUUCGAGGAAAAUCUGACACGCCUCCUGGUCCAAUUGAAAAUCAGAGAAUAUCGUACACUAAAGGAGGACAGACUUACCUCAAAACCAACUCGGAUCAUGGACAGCUAACUGCAGAGACUUGGAAAUUCCUUCAUAAGAUAUAUGGUGGAGGUCCAGAGCUGUUCAUUAAACAGAAUCGGGGGAACCUAGGGGGUCAGUCUCCUCCAGUGACCCACAAGUCCUCCUCGUCGUCUGCCCUGGGGAAGAGCGGUGGGUACAGAGGGAGCUCACAAGGUGACAUUGAGAGAGAAGCUGAUCGGCCAUCAAAGCAAGAAGUGAGAGAGGAAGAAAACAUGGAGGUGAAUGAUUGUACGAAAGGUCAGGAAGAGGCUGCGCCAUCUUUGGAACAAGACAGUGAGGGAGGUGAACAGAACACCGAGGUUGAACAGACAAGAGAGGUUGAACAGAACACCGAGGUUGAACAGACUAGAGAGGUUGAACAGAACACCAAGGUUGAACAGACCAGAGAGGUUGAACAGAACAUAGAAACGGAGAGUGAACAGAUCAAAGACAGGAAGAUAACCCAGGAUAGUCAAUCAGCUGAUACCCACAAUUCCACAGAGCAUCAGAAAAUUGACUAAAUUAUCAAUUUUUCCACUUAUACCUUUCAUUUUGUUACUCCGAGUCCCUCUGUAUCAGAUGAUUUAAUAUUAGAUGGAUUGAUUUCCUUAAAGUGUGUUUUUGUUCCCUGUUUUGGCCCUUCUUUCCAUGACUAGAAGUUUGGCCCAUGGAUUACAGGGAGUGUAUGCCAUUUAUGUCUGGCUCCCUUUGUUCAUACAUGCCAUGUUUAUACUGUUACAUGUGACUAAUUUAUUGGGGUUUGUCUCUUUAUUAAAUAUUUAUUCUUGUCUGUUGUC